GGUUAACCGUAUAGGGGAGCCGUAGAGAAAUCGAGUCUUAAUAGGGCGUUUAGUUGCUGGGUAUAGACCCGAAACCAGGCGAUCUAUCCAUGAGCAGGUUGAAGGUUGGGUAACACUAACUGGAGGACCGAACCCACUGUCGUUGAAAAGCCAGGGGAUGACUUGUGGAUAGGGGUGAAAGGCUAAUCAAGCCUGGUGAUAGCUGGUUCUCCCCGAAAG
rnacentral:rRNA from 1 species